UACGUAGGUGGCAAGCGUUGUCCGGAUUUACUGGGCGUAAAGAGCGCGCAGGCGGUCGAGUAAGUCGAAUGUGAAAGCCCCCGGCUUAACUGGGGAGGGUCAUUCGAUACUGUUCGACUUGAAGGCAGGAGAGGGCAGCAGAAUUCCCGGUGUAGCGGUGAAAUGCGUAGAGAUCGGGAGGAAGGCCGGUGGCGAAGGCGGCGCUCUGGAACGUUACUGACGCUGAGACACGAAAGCGUGGGGAGCAAACAGG
rnacentral:rRNA from 1 species